AAUAGAUACCCUGGUAGUCCACGCUGUAAACGAUGUGUGCUAGACGUUGGGGAGCCUAGCUCUUCGGUGUCGCAGCUAACGCGGUAAGCACACCGCCUGGGGAGUACGGCCGCAAGGUUAAAACUCAAAGGAAUUGACGGGGGGCCCGCACAAGCGGUGGAGCACGUGGUUUAAUUCGAAGCAACGCGCAGAACCUUACCUGGGCUUGACAUGCUAGGAUUAUCUCUAUGAAAGUAGAGUAGGCCCUUCGGGGUACAACUAGUACAGGUGCUGCAUGGCUGUCGUCAGCUCGUGUCGUGAGAUGUCGGGUUAAGUCCCUUAACGAGCGAAACCUUUGCCCUUAGUUACCAUCGGGUUAUGCCGGGGACUCUAGGGGGACUGCCGGUGUCAAACCGGAGGAAGGUGGAGAUGACGUCAAGUCCUCAUGGCCUUUAUGCCCAGGGCCACACACGUGCUACAAUGGCGUCGACAGAGCGAACCUAAGCCGCAAGGCCAUGGCAAUCGCGCAAAUGACGCCCCAGUUCAGA
rnacentral:rRNA from 1 species